AACCUUACCCAGGUCUUGACUCCCUUUGACCACCCCUAGAGAUAGGGCUUUCCUUUCGGGGACAAAGUGACAGGUGGUGCAUGGUUGUCGUCAGCUCGUGUCGUGAGAUGUUGGGUUAAGUCCCGCAACGAGCGCAACCCCUAUUAUUAGUUGCCAGCAUUUAGUUGGGCACUCUAAUGAGACUGCCGGUGACAAACCGGAGGAAGGUGGGGAUGACGUCAAAUCAGCAUGCCCCUUAUGACUUGGGCUACACACGUGCUACAAUGGAUGGUACAACGAGUCGCAAACCCGAGAGGGCAAGCAAAUCUCUUAAAGCCAUUCUCAGUUCGGAUUGCAGGCUGCAACUCGCCUGCAUGAAGCCGGAAUCGCUAGUAAUCGUGGAUCAGCACGCCACGGUGAAUACGUUCCCGGGUCUUGUACACACCGCCU
rnacentral:rRNA from 1 species